UGGGGAAUAUUGGCACAAUGGGCGAAAGCCUGAUGCAGCGACGCCGCGUGAGGGAUGACGGCCUUCGGGUUGUAAACCUCUUUCAGCAGGGAAGAAGCGAAAGUGACGGUACCUGCAGAAGAAGCGCCGGCUAACUACGUGCCAGCAGCCGCGGUAAUACGUAGGGCGCAAGCGUUGUCCGGAAUUAUUGGGCGUAAAGAGCUCGUAGGCGGUUAGUCGCGUCUGCUGCGAAAACUCGAGGCUCAACCUCGGGCUUGCAGUGGGUACGGGCUGACUAGAGUGCGGUAGGGGUGACUGGAAUUCCUGGUGUAGCGGUGGAAUGCGCAGAUAUCAGGAGGAACACCGAUGGCGAAGGCAGGUCACUGGGCCGCAACUGACGCUGAGGAGCGAAAGCAUGGGGAGCGAACAGGAUUAGAUACCCUGGUAGUCCAUGCCGUAAACGUUGGGCACUAGGUGUGGGGUCCAUUUCCACGGAUUCCGUGCCGCAGCAAACGCAUUAAGUGCCCCGCCUGGGGAGUACGGCCGCAAGGCUAAAACUCAAAGGAAUUGACGGGGUCAUAGCUGUUUCC
rnacentral:rRNA from 1 species